rnacentral:lncRNA from 1 species
ACAAAGAUAUUACUUCUGUCUUUGUUUGCCUCCAUGAGGGUUGUAACACCCCUAGGGCUCGUGAUUCUAGCUUUGGGAGCUAGGGUUGUACCCAUAAGCCGAUAAUAUACUCUGUAUAUUAUUGCUAUUUCUCUAGUAUUAUCCUUACUGUUCAUGUUUUUUGUUUUAACAUUAAGUGUUAAAACAUCCAUGAUGUUAGGAUCAUUAAUAUCCACCGAGAAAUUUGGGUAGCAAUUAAAGUAUACCGGCCCGUCGGCGAGGUUAC